UACGUAGGUGGCAAGCGUUAUCCGGAAUUAUUGGGCGUAAAGCGCUCGCAGGCGGUUUCUUAAGUCUGAUGUGAAAGCCCACGGCUCAACCGUGGAGGGUCAUUGGAAACUGGGAGACUUGAGUGCAGAAGAGGAGAGUGGAAUUCCACGUGUAGCGGUGAAAUGCGUAGAGAUGUGGAGGAACACCAGUGGCGAAGGGCGACUCUCUGGUCUGUAACUGACGCUGAGGAGCGAAAGCGUGGGGAGCAAACAGGG
rnacentral:rRNA from 1 species